CUCCAAUCAAGUUGUAGAAAUGUCUCAAGGAUGAUCAAUGGAAACAGGAUGGACCUGAGUUCAAUUUUGAGUCUCAUAGCAAAGCUUUCAGCUUACAUUACUAGUGGAAAACCUAACUGAAGUAAUGAAGUCAAAACUUCAAAAAGUGAUGAGCGCAGUCUGUGCAAAGAGGAAGUGCCAUGGGUAGGCCUGGGAGGUCUUAGGCCCACCCACUUGGAAGCCAGGUCCACCCACAGGGGAGCCAGUCCCAGUCAAUCAGAAUGAGUUCUUCACACAAAAGGGCUUUAUUACAGACAGAAAUACUCCUCAGAAAUACUGGAAACUGAACUCUGGAGUAAAUAGUUGAGGCAACGUGGUCGGGCCUUGGUCCUCUUGGUGUGGUUCAGGGGUUGGAGGAGAGUCAUGGUUCUUCUGGCAAGCAGCUCUCUUCCACAGCACUGAAAUGGCUA
ensembl:lncRNA